UAUCCCAGCCCCUUCCUACUCCCAUUGAAUGCAGCUCUGUGAGGACACGAUAUUUGAAGCUGCAGUAGCUGAGGUGGCAAAAGAUGGCAGAACAGAAGAGCAGACAGAAUCUGGGUCCUAGAUGACUUCAUUGCACUGCUGCAACUGCCUUCUCCAGACCUCUUGCCAGGCUCUAGUCAUUCUGUGAGAGGAACUCCAGGAGACCAGAUCCAACUCGCAAUCAGCUAUAGUGAAGUUAUGAUAUGAGAAGCACCAACUUGGCACAAGACUUGGGAAAGGCAAUGAGGCAGCAGGCAAGCUUUAAGGGAUGACACUUACCUUGAGGGAGCAAGGACAAGUUGUGACCUUCCCAGUCCUCUCUCCAUUUGCAGAUCAGCAAGCUUCUGUCAGCAAGGAGGGGUGGACAAUGAAACUGGGUUCAGCUUGAUUUGUUUUUUGAGACAGGUAUGGCAAGGGGCUGCCAACAAGGUGAAGAAAUUGAGACCCAGAGUGAUUAUAUGACCUGCCCAAGGUGGUCACGUCGUUAGGCCAUGGCAGAGAUCUGAAAUAAAAGGUCAGGUCUUCUGACUUCAGUCCAUGAUUUUUUUUUUUUUUUUUCUAUAACAUCAUGCUACCUAGAAGAAAAAGAAAUGAAGGUCAAGCUGCAGAGGAAACAGCCACCUGGGGCGUGUUCUUACGUUGCCUGGAAGCUGCACAAGAGGCCAAGUCAAAACAUGCAGGAUUCCAGUUGCCCAUGAUGUCACAGGCUGAGGCCCACACUCCAGAGACACUGUGGACUGACUGGCACCUAUGAGCUGACCUAAUAACAGUUACACCAUUACAGCUCCGAUUCUACAGAACAAUACAUAUCCAGUUCUUAU
rnacentral:lncRNA from 1 species